UGUUUGAACGUCUGCGAUGAUACAGU
rnacentral:sRNA from 1 species